rnacentral:rRNA from 1 species
GGGUGCGAUCAUACCAGUGUUAAUGCACCAGAUCCUAUCAGAACUCUGUGGUUAAGCGCGCUUGGGCUAGAGUAGUACUGGGAUGGGUGAAAUCUUGGGAAGUCCUAGUGUUGCACCCU